rnacentral:tRNA from 1 species
UGGGUAGAAGUCCUAUCUUGCACAUAGGAGAGUGAAGGCAAAACAAAACUUCCUACCUAA